rnacentral:lncRNA from 1 species
GAAGAGGGAGAAUGUAAAAGAAAUUUUGGGAUAACUUCAUACUUUCAAAAUAAAAUAAAUAAAUAAUUAAAACUUUAAAACAAAACAAAAUAAAACUUAAACCAAAACUAGAAUAAAAUUAAUUCCACUUUUAACACACAGGAGGACUCAAACCUAAGACCCAAAGGUAAACUAACACAACCACUACCACUAAAUCAGCAGGCUCAUUCUACUCCCAAAUUCUAAGGAAAAAUAUAAAAUCUAUACGAAACCAUUAACUUAUUAGGAAACCUAAUGUAACACUCC